GUUGCAGUGAGCCGAGAUGGCGCCAUUGCACUCCAGCCUGGGAGACAGGGCGAGACUCCAUCCCAAAAAAAAAAAAAAAAAAAAAAAGACAAGAGCCCUGCUUAAAUGCAUCGCCCUUGCCUUUUGCCAUCUUCCUCCUCCCCCAGCUCUUGCCUCCUGAGUCUGUGCAGUGGAACACGGGACUAUCGACUGUCCUCUGGCAUAUUUCAUGUAGGCCUUUAGUUAGUAUUCUGUGUAUCUCUGUGAUCGAUGCCUGAUUGAAAUGGGAUUAAUCUGCUCCUCUCCAGUAAGAAUUAUCAUGAACUUAGCCUUAUUCAUCUUCUAUUCUAAUACAAUCUAUGGCCACUGAGAUGAUGGUAGCUGCAAUUAAUAAAUACACGAAACACCAAUGUGUUUAUCUCUCUGCAUGCUCUCGUCACGGGUUAGAGUGUGAAGG
rnacentral:lncRNA from 1 species